rnacentral:tRNA from 1 species
GGUCUUUUAGUAUAAAGGUAGUACAGCUACCCUUCACGUAGCUAGCGUCAGUUCGAGUUUGGUAAAGGCUA